rnacentral:rRNA from 1 species
UGGGGAAUAUUGCACAAUGGGCGAAAGCCUGAUGCAGCAACGCCGCGUGAGUGAUGAAGGCCUUCGGGUUGUGAAGCUCUGUCUUUUGGGACGAUAAUGACGGUACCAAAGGAGGAAGCCACGGCUAACUACGUGCCAGCAGCCGCGGUAAUACGUAGGUGGCAAGCGUUGUCCGGAUUUACUGGGCGUAAAGGAUGCGUAGGCGGAUUUUUAAGCGAGAUGUGAAAACCCUAAGCUUAACUUGGGGACUGCAUUUCAUACUGGAAAUCUAGAGUGCGGGAGAGGAGAAUGGAAUUCCUAGUGUAGCGGUGAAAUGCGUAGAGAUUAGGAAGAACACCAGUGGCGAAGGCGAUUCUCUGGACCGUAACUGACGCUGAGGCAUGAAAGCGUGGGUAGCAAACAGGAUUAGAUACCCUGGUAGUCCACGCCGUAAACGAUGAGUACUAGGUGUAGGAGGUAUCGACCCCUUCUGUGCCGCAGUUAACACAAUAAGUACUCCGCCUGGGAAGUACGAUCGCAAGAUU